rnacentral:rRNA from 1 species
UACGGAGGAUCCGAGCGUUAUCCGGAUUUAUUGGGUUUAAAGGGAGCGUAGGCGGGUUGUUAAGUCAGUUGUGAAAGUUUGCGGCUCAACCGUAAAAUUGCAGUUGAUACUGGCAUCCUUGAGUACAGUAGAGGUAGGCGGAAUUCGUGGUGUAGCGGUGAAAUGCUUAGAUAUCACGAAGAACUCCGAUUGCGGAGGCAGCCUGCUGGACUGUAACUGACGCUGAUGCUCGAAAGUGUGGGUAUCAAACAGG